rnacentral:rRNA from 1 species
GUACACUCCUACGGGAGGCAGCAGUGGGGAAUUUUGGACAAUGGGCGAAAGCCUGAUCCAGCAAUGCCGCGUGUGUGAAGAAGGCCUUCGGGUUGUAAAGCACUUUUGUCCGGAAAGAAAUCCUUGGCUCUAAUACAGUCGGGGGAUGACGGUACCAGAAGAAUAAGCACCGGCUAACUACGUGCCAGCAGCCGCGGUAAUACGUAGGGUGCGAGCGUUAAUCGGAAUUACUGGGCGUAAAGCGUGCGCAGGCGGUUUGCUAAGACCGAUGUGAAAUCCCCGGGCUCAACCUGGGAACUGCAUUGGUGACUGGCAGGCUAGAGUAUGGCAGAGGGGGGUAGAAUUCCACGUGUAGCAGUGAAAUGCGUAGAGAUGUGGAGGAAUACCGAUGGCGAAGGCAGCCCCCUGGGCCAAUACUGACGCUCAUGCACGAAAGCGUGGGGAGCAAACAGGAUUAGAUACCCCUGUAGUCCCAU